rnacentral:tRNA from 1 species
GGAGAGGUGCGAGAGUGGCCGAAUCGGGCGGUCUCGAAAACCGCUGUGUCAGUGAUGGCACCGUGGGUUCAAAUCCCACCCUCUCCG